CCUUUUAUAGCAUAACAAAAUGCAUAUAACUGUUAAUUAUAAAAUAUUUUAAAAUUUAAAGGU
rnacentral:tRNA from 1 species